ACUCCUACGGGAGGCAGCAGUAGGGAAUCUUCCGCAAUGGACGCAAGUCUGACGGAGCAACGCCGCGUGAGCGAAGAAGGUUUUCGGAUCGUAAAGCUCUGUUGCCGGAGAAGAACGGGCGGGUGAGGCAAUGCACCCGUCGUGACGGUAACCGGCCAGAAAGCCACGGCUAACUACGUGCCAGCAGCCGCGGUAAUACGUAGGUGGCAAGCGUUGUCCGGAAUUAUUGGGCGUAAAGCGCGCGCAGGCGGCCCCUUAAGUCUGAUGUGAAAGACUGCGGCUUAACCGCAGAGGGGCAUUGGAAACUGAGGGGCUUGAGUGCAGAAGAGGAGAGCAGAAUUCCACGUGUAGCGGUGAAAUGCGUAGAGAUGUGGAGGAAUACCGGUGGCGAAGGCGGCUCUCUGGUCUGUGACUGACGCUGAGGAGCGAAAGCGUGGGGAGCGAACAGGAUUAGAUACCCUGGUAGUC
rnacentral:rRNA from 1 species